AUUGCUAAUAUGAAGGUACCUGAACAACAACAAUGUAAUACUUUGAAUUCUUGAAAUCACUGCAAUCAAUGAUAUCCGAUGGAGCCUGUGUAUUAACCAGGACGAUGCUUUUGCAGAGGUGAUCAACGGAGGCGGCACCCAGAAUGUCCCGUCGGGCUUCAAGAGACCAGUCGUAGUAAUCUGAGGGAACCCUUUUAAAGGAGAAGUCAUGGACACCAUUGGAUCGGAGAAUUGCGGUGAGGCAAGCUUCAGUGUCGUCGCCGGCGGCUGUCCUGCAACAGUUUGCGUCGGGGGAGUAUACAGAUGCGGAAGCAGAGAGAUUGUUUUGAGGAAGGAAAGAAAGCUCGAGCUUCGAUAUUCGUUGGAGGAUUAGUGUUUGCAGUCGCUCCACCUCUGCUAGUUCUGCCUCCAUCAUGCGUCCUUCCUUUCCUCUCUCAAUCUUGCUCCGCUUGGGCUUCAGAGUUCCGUCUUUCAGAUUGUGGGUUGAGCUGUAAUCUUGUGUGCUUUUUUUUUUCUUUUCAAUUUUAACAUGAUUUUUCAAUCCAUCCCAAUCUGAGAACC
rnacentral:misc_RNA from 1 species